CCGCAAUUCACUCAGACUAAUAUCCCUACGCGUGCAGCUACCCCUACUCCUCCUCAAUCGGCGGCAUCAAAUGAUGGGCCAAUAGAAAUGUCUCCUUCGCCGAUGCCUCAGAAUGUGUGGCCGCCUCCUCAAUGGGUGACUUACCUGCAGCAGUUCCAGCAGAACCCUUCGUGGUCGCAGCACCCGCCGCCGCCGCCGCCGUAGUCGUGAGUUGUGCUUGUAUGGACAUGCACUCUUUGUAUAGACUAUCGUUUGAACUUGUGCUUGUAUGGACAUGUAUGAACUACCAGUGCUUGUAUGGACUUGUAUCGACUACAUUUGGGCUUGUAUGCAUUGCGAUA